rfam:Trypanosoma congolense IL3000, WGS project CAEQ01000000 data, contig: 132
GCAUCUUGCCCUGUCUGGCUUCCUGUCGGUAUUGCCUCAGUGACGGGGAAUGCCCGAAUGUGCAAGAGAGU